UACGGGGGGGGCAAGCGUUGUCCGGAAUUAUUGGGCGUAAAGGGCUCGUAGGCGGUCUGUCGCGUCGGCUGUGAAAUCCCGAGGCUCAACCUCGGGUCUGCAGUCGAUACGGGCAAACUAGAGUAUUGCAGGGGAGACUGGAAUUCCUGGUGUAGCGGUGAAAUGCGCAGAUAUCAGGAAGAACACCAAUGCGAAGGCAGCUCUCGUGGGACGGUA
rnacentral:rRNA from 1 species